UACAGAGGUCUCAAGCGUUGUUCGGAUUCAUUGGGCGUAAAGGGUGCGUAGGCGGCGCGGUAAGUCGGGUGUGAAAUCUCGGAGCUUAACCCCGAAACUGCAUUCGAUACUGCCGUGCUUGAGGACUGGAGAGGAGACUGGAAUUUACGGUGUAGCGGUGAAAUGCGUAGAUAUCGUAAGGAAGACCAGUGGCGAAGGCGGGUCUCUGGACAGUUCCUGACGCUGAGGCACGAAAGUCAGGGGAGCAAACGGG
rnacentral:rRNA from 1 species